ensembl:snoRNA
AUCCUUUCGUAGUUCAUAAGCAUGUUUGGGUGUUCACGGGCACGUGUAACAUGUGCCUCUCUUAAACUUCGUUAUGAUGCUGACACAUCAUCCAGCUGACG